rnacentral:rRNA from 1 species
UUGAAGGUGGCCUGUGAGGGUUGCUGGAGGUAUCAGAAGUGCGAAUGCUGACAUAAGUAACGAUAAAGCGGGUGAAAAGCCCGCUCGCCGGAAGACCAAGGGUUCCUGUCCAACGUUAAUCGGGGCAGGGUGAGUCGACCCCUAAGGCGAGGCCGAAAGGCGUAGUCGAUGGGAAACGGGUUAAUAUUCCCGUACUUGGUGUUACUGCGAAGGGGGGACGGAGAAGGCUAUGUUGGCCGGGCGACGGUUGUCCCGGUUUAAGCGUGUAGGCUGGUUUUCCAGGCAAAUCCGGAAAAUCAAGGC